CCUACGGGAGGCAGCAGUGAGGAAUAUUGGUCAAUGGUCGGGGGACUGAACCAGCCAAGCCGCGUGAGGGAGGAAGGUACAGAGUAUCGUAAACCUCUUUUGUCAGGGAACAAAGCCGGGGACGUGUCCCCGGCUGAGUGUACCUGACGAAAAAGCAUCGGCUAACUCCGUGCCAGCAGCCGCGGUAAUACGGAGGAUGCGAGCGUUAUCCGGAUUUAUUGGGUUUAAAGGGUGCGCAGGCGGUCUGUUAAGUCAGCGGUCAAAGCCCGGGGCUCACCCCCGGCCCGCCGUUGAAACUGGCAGUCUCGAGUUGGAGAGAAGUAUGCGGAAUGCGCGGUGUAGCGGUGAAAUGCAUAGAUAUCGCGCAGAACUCCGAUUGCGAAGGCAGCAUGCCGGCUCCACACUGACGCUGAGGCACGAAAGCGUGGGUAUCGAACAGGAUUAGAUACCCGUGUAGUC
rnacentral:rRNA from 1 species